GGCAAGUCUGGUGCCAGCAGCCGCGGUAAUUCCAGCUCCAAUAGCGUAUAUUAAAGUUGUUGCAGUUAAAAAGCUCGUAGUUGAACUUCGGGACCGGUGGGUUGGUCGUGCCUCCGGUACGUACUGGUCUUACUGGUUCCUCCCUUCUGAAGAACCACGAUGUCAUUAAUUUGGUGUCGUGGGGAAUCAGGACUGUUACUUUGAAAAAAUUAGAGUGUUUAAAGCAGGC
rnacentral:rRNA from 1 species